GAUGAACGCUGGCGGCGUGCCUAAUACAUGCAAGUCGAGCGAACGGACGAGAAGAUUGCUUCUCUGAUGUUAGCGGCGGACGGGUGAGUAACACGUGGAUAACCUACCUAUAAGACUGGGAUAACUUCGGGAAACCGGAGCUAAUACCGGAUAAUAUUUUGAACCGCAUGGUUCAAAAGUGAAAGACGGUCUUGCUGUCACUUAUAGAUGGAUCCGCGCUGCAUUAGCUAGUUGGUAAGGUAACGGCUUACCAAGGCAACGAUGCAUAGCCGACCUGAGAGGGUGAUCAGCCACACUGGAACUGAGAGACGGUCCAGACUCCUACGGGAGGCAGCAGUAGGGAAUCUUGCGCAAUGGGCGAAAGCCUGACGGAGCAACGCCGCGUGAGUGAUGAAGGUCUUCGGAUCGUAAAACUCUGUUAUUAGGGAAGAACAUAUGUGUAAGUAACUGUGCACAUCUUGACGGUACCUGAUCAGAAAGCCACGGCUAACUACGUG
rnacentral:rRNA from 1 species